rnacentral:tRNA from 1 species
GACCGGGUGGUGGAAUUGGUAGACACAAGGGAUUUAAAAUCCCUCGGCGUUCGCGCUGUGCCGGUUCAAGUCCGGCCCGGGGCACCA